UNGUGCGAUUUUCAGCCAGCGUGUGUCC
rnacentral:piRNA from 1 species